UACGUAGGUCCCGAGCGUUAUCCGGCUUUAUUGGGCGUAAAGCGAGCGCAGGCGGUUAGGUAAGUCGGGAGUGAAAGGCUGUGGCUUAACCAUAGUAUGCUUUGGAAACUGUUUAACUUGAGGGCAGAAGGGGGGAGUGGAAUUCCAUGUGUAGCGGUGAAAUGCGUAGAUAUAUGGAGGAACACCGGUGGCGAAAGCGGCUCUCUGGUCUGUAACUGACGCUGAGGCUCGAAAGCGUGGGGAGCAAACAGG
rnacentral:rRNA from 1 species